GUAUAGGUAAAAAACUUAAGUAAGUCACCUGUUGUAUGUAGUUGUGACGUUUCGAAUAGACAUUUGUUUUGUUUGUGUGUGUCUUUUAAACAUGUAUUGUCUAUUCGAACACGCCACAACUACAUACAACAGGUGACUUACUUAAGUUUUUUACCUAUACCUAUAC